CUCACAUGGGCCCUCACUCAUGCACCUCCACCUGUUGGCCUUGAAGCUGCAUUUAAGCAGCUGGGGAGAAAGCUCUUGCUAGAAGGCUCUAUUUGCAGGCAGUGUUUGAGCUGAUACUAGAAAGCCACUAUUGGGUCUCUGCAGAGCCUUCUCUUCCCUAGGCUGAACAGCCCCGACUCUGUCAGCCUGUCCUUGCAGGAGAAGUGCUCCAUCCCUUGGAUUGCUUUUGUGGUCCUCCUCUGGAUGUGCUCCAGAUGUUCCAUGUCUCUCCUGUGCUGAGGACUCCACAUCUGGACACAGUACUCCAGAUGAGAGAGGAAGCUGCCUUUGAGUGGAUGUAGUGGCUCACUUAGUGCUGAUUUCUAGUUGCUGGUUAGAAUACGGACAUUUUGCUAGGCAGGAAAUGUUUGUGUCAACACUGUAAAUCUCCAGCUGCUGCCUGGUAGCUCAGCACUUAUGCAAGAUACUUCUGCUGAAUCCUCCAAGCUGACCUCGGAGUCCUGUAUUUCCUAGUGUCGGCUUCCAGAUUUCAUCCUACAGUCCUUCUCCCUGGUAGAAGUAGAAUUUGUAAUUCCUAUUA